CUCCUCCUUUGGGCUGUGGACCAGGUCUGGUUGGACUCCAGCACUGUUGCUGUGACCGCCUGCCAGCCAUGCUCGACAAAGUGCCGGACCAGGGGUAUGAGUAUGUUAGCUGAGGAGGAGUAUGUCGUGAUCAGAGGGAGCAUUGGGGAUGUAUCUCGUGGCCUAGGAUGCAGGAAGGAUCUCCUGCACGACCUGAGAAAAGACCUCGAGUAGCCCCGUUUACCAAGGACCUUGAAAAGGAUUCCCACUGCCUCCUCGAAAUCUGCGUGUUGGGUGCAUAUUCUGUGGAAUCUAAGGAGCUGUGAUUUGAUUAGACCGGCGUAGGUGUGUUUGGGGUGGAAACUGGUUUUAUAAAGUAGUGCGUGUGUGUCUGUGGGUUUAAAGUAAACUUUGAUGUCCAAUUUGUGUGGGUUAGGGUUAGGGUUAGGGUUAGGGUUAGGGUUAGGGUUAGUUUUAAAGAGAGUUGUGACUCCAAUGGAGUCGUGCACUGGCCAUCAAAACCAGAACCACCCAAAAAGACUAAGAAUUCAAACAAAAGAAGAAAAA